UACGUAGGGUGCAAGCGUUGUCCGGAAUUAUUGGGCGUAAAGAGCUCGUAGGCGGUUUGUCGCGUCGAAUGUGAAAACCCGGGGCUCAACCCCGGGCCUGCAUUCGAUACGGGCAGACUAGAGUUCGGUAGGGGAGUCUGGAAUUCCCGGUGUAGCGGUGAAAUGUGCAGAGAUCGGGAGGAACACCGGUGGCGAAGGCGGGUCUCUGGGCAUUUCCUGACGCUGAGGCGCGAAAGCGUGGGGAGCAAACGGG
rnacentral:rRNA from 1 species